rnacentral:rRNA from 1 species
AAUGAACGUUGGUGGCGUGGAUUAGGCAUGCAAGUCGCGCGGAAAGGCCCCUUCGGGGCACUCGAGCGGCGAAAGGGAGAGUAACGCGUGGGUAACCUACCCUUGGGUCCGGGAUAGCGGCGGGAAACCGCCGAUAAUACCGGAUAACGUCUCCGGACCAAAGGUGUGAUUCCGCCUGGGGAUGGGCCCGCGUCCUAUUAGUUAGUUGGUGGGGUAACGGCCUACCAAGACGACGAUGGGUACUGGGUGUGAGAGCACGACCCGGCUCACUGGGACUGAGACACUGCCCAGACACCUACGGGCUG